AGGCUUUGGGAAAGAUCAUACCUGAAACCUGCCGGCCAUUAUACAAUGUCCUGAAAAUAAAGUAUUUUAAGUUUCCUCAAAACACACGAGACUGGAUGAUGGUUGCCGAACAAUUUGAUCGUUGGAAUUUGGGCGACCCUCUGAUGGGGGAACCUUUAAGGAUACUGAGUUCUUUGCCGGGCUGAAGGAUGGUAGACUGCAUUUGCCAAAGGCAGAAGACUCUUAAGCAUGGCAUGAACUUCGUCUUUGUUGCGCAUGAGGAAUUUGCUCUGGAGGAACAUCCUGAAACCUUUUCCACAAAGGGCUCUUAAUGAAGAGAAACAUGUUUUUUAAUUGUAGACUUUCCCAAGCCUGCCGCAUUGUCAAGAACACAUUCGGAAUUCUGUGCAGUCGUUUUAGGAUAUUUUGUACGACAAUCGAUUUAAAAGUGGAAAAAAUUGAUGCAGUUGUGUUGGCUUGUUGAGCGCUACAUAAUUACUUGAGGUGCAAGACCACUCAAACCAGGCCAACAGCAACCUCAAAUGACCCUGAACCAAUGGAGACGAAUGUGUCCGUGGCCCCUCUAGAAAAUUUGGAAAGAGCCAUGUCCUCUCAUGGUGCUACUAUCAAAGCAAAAUUGGUCCAUGAACAAUAUCUUGCUUACUUUAUUGGGAUUGGGGCAGUGUCUUGGCAAGCCAGCGCUAUUGCCUGAUUCUUUCAAAUGAACCUGAUUGUUGGUUUUUAAAUUUUAAACAUUUUCAAGGUCUUUAUAAAUUUGCAAAAAUGUCUGCAAAAUAAAGAUGUUUGGUUUCACCAUA